UACCUGCAAGUCGAGCGGAUGACGGGAGCUUGCUCCUUGAUUCAGCGGCGGACGGGUGAGUAAUGCCUAGGAAAUCUGCCUGGUAGUGGGGGACAACGUUUCGAAAGGAACGCUAAUACCGCAUACGUCCUACGGGAGAAAGCAGGGGACCUUCGGGCCUUGCGCUAUCAGAUGAGCCUAGGUCGGAUUAGCUAGUUGGUGAGGUAAUGGCUCACCAAGGCGACGAUCCGUAACUGGUCUGAGAGGAUGAUCAGUCACACUGGAACUGAGACACGGUCCAGACUCCUACGGGAGGCAGCAGUGGGGAAUAUUGGACAAUGGGCGAAAGCCUGAUCCAGCCAUGCCGCGUGUGUGAAGAAGGUCUUCGGAUUGUAAAGCACUUUAAGUUGGGAGGAAGGGCAGUAAGU
rnacentral:rRNA from 1 species